UGGGGAAUUUUGCACAAUGGGGGAAACCCUGAUGCAGCGACGCCGCGUGAUUUAGAAGGCCUUCGGGUUGUAAAAAUCUUUUCUAUGGGAAGAAAAUGACAGUACCAUAGGAAUAAGGACCGGCUAAUUACGUGCCAGCAGCCGCGGUAAUACGGAGGGGGCUAGCGUUGUUCGGAAUUACUGGGCGUAAAGCGCACGUAGGCGGCUUUGUAAGUUAGAGGUGAAAGCCCGGGGCUCAACUCCGGAAUUGGCUUUAAGACUGCAUCGCUAGAAUUGUGGAGAGGUAAGUGAAAUUCCGAGUGUAGAGGUGAAAUUCGUAGAUAUUCGGAAGAACACCAGUGGCGAAGGCGACUUACUGGACACAUAUUGACGCUGAGGUGCGAAAGCGUGGGGAGCAAACAGG
rnacentral:rRNA from 1 species